rnacentral:rRNA from 1 species
GUGAAUCAUCGAGUCUUUGAACGCACCUUGCGCUCCAUGGUAUUCCGUGGAGCAUGCCUGUUUGAGUGUCAUGAAUUCUUCAACCCACCUAUUUCUUAGUGAAUCAGGCGGUGUUUGGAUUCUGAGCGCUGCUGGCCUCACGGCCUAGCUCGCUCGUAAUGCAUUAGCAUCCGCAAUCGAACUUCGGAUUGACUCGGCGUAAUAGACUAUUCGCUGAGGAUUCUGGUCUCUGACUGGAGCCGGGUGAGAUUAAAGGAAGCUACUAAUCCUCAUGUCUAUCUUGAGAUUAGACCUCAAAUCAGGUAGGACUACCCGCUGAACUUAA